rnacentral:rRNA from 2 species
GCUUGCACUGAUUUUAACAAUGAAGCGAGUGGCGAACUGGUGAGUAACACGUGGGAAAUCUGCCCAGAAGCAGGGGAUAACACUUGGAAACAGGUGCUAAUACCGUAUAACAACAAAAUCCGCAUGGAUUUUGUUUGAAAGGUGGCUUCGGCUAUCACUUCUGGAUGAUCCCGCGGCGUAUUAGUUAGUUGGUGAGGUAAAGGCCCACCAAGACGAUGAUACGUAGCCGACCUGAGAGGGUAAUCGGCCACAUUGGGACUGAGACACGGCCCAAACUCCUACGGGAGGCAGCAGUAGGGAAUCUUCCACAAUGGACGAAAGUCUGAUGGAGCAAUGCCGCGUGAGUGAAGAAGGGUUUCGGCUCGUAAAACUCUGUUGUUAAAGAAGAACACCUUUGAGAGUAACUGUUCAAGGGUUGACGGUAUUUAACCAGAAAGCCACGGCUAACUACGUGCCAGCAGCCGCGGUAAUACGUAGGUGGCAAGCGUUGUCCGGAUUUAUUGGGCGUAAAGCGAGUGCAGGCGGUUUUUUAAGUCUGAUGUGAAAGCCUUCGGCUUAACCGGAGAAGUGCAUCGGAAACUGGGAGACUUGAGUGCAGAAGAGGACAGUGGAACUCCAUGUGUAGCGGUGGAAUGCGUAGAUAUAUGGAAGAACACCAGUGGCGAAGGCGGCUGUCUAGUCUGUAACUGACGCUGAGGCUCGAAAGCAUGGGUAGCGAACAGGAUUAGAUACCCUGGUAGUCCAUGCCGUAAACGAUGAGUGCUAAGUGUUGGAGGGUUUCCGCCCUUCAGUGCUGCAGCUAACGCAUUAAGCACUCCGCCUGGGGAGUACGACCGCAAGGUUGAAACUCAAAGGAAUUGACGGGGGCCCGCACAAGCGGUGGAGCAUGUGGUUUAAUUCGAAGCUACGCGAAGAACCUUACCAGGUCUUGACAUCUUCUGCCAAUCUUAGAGAU